rnacentral:rRNA from 1 species
UACGUAGGGUGCAAGCGUUGUCCGGAUUUAUUGGGUUUAAAGGGUGCGUAGGCGGUCUUUUAAGUCAGUGGUGAAAUCCUCCAGCUUAACUGGAGAACUGCCAUUGAUACUGGGAGACUUGAGUACAGACGAGGUAGGCGGAAUUGACAGUGUAGCGGUGAAAUGCAUAGAUACAAUCAAGAACACCGAUUGCGUAGGCAGCUAACUAGGCUGUAACUGACGCUGAGGCACGAAAGCGUGGGGAGCGAACAGG